AGAGGCUCACUGCAAAUCCCUGAAACCAAGAGGCAAAAUGUCCAUUGAACUCAGUGCUUCCAGUGUCUCAGAUCUUCAUCUUGGAAAAUGAGGGGUCGUAGCAUCCCAGGGUGAGAUGUACACUUUGUGCAGAGGGCCUGGUCAUUCUAGGGUACCCAGCCGCAUUUGCUGUCACCAUCUGUGCUCACUGUUGGGGCCUCCAGUUUCAUAGUCAAGUUUGGGCAACAUUUGCAUACGAGCUCCCUAAAGGAGUCUCUUGCUGGUCUUCUCUCAGACAGAUCCUUCAGGGACGGUCAUUUCAUUCAUCAGAAGGCCACCUUGUGUUUUGAAUGUGCCUACUCUGAGUACUGAGUGUGAGAGCAGAAGCUGUCUGUUCAGGCUACUGAUAUCAGGAUGGCUCCGAGUGUUACACACCACUUUCCCUUGUCAGCUCACUAGUGUCUAUGAUUAAAUGUUUCACAGCCUUCAGACUAUGAGGUGCUCGUGACUUCCACCCCAAGCCCUUCAAGCCUCAUUCAGCAGUGAGCCCUGCCAGUUCUUCUCAGCAAACACUUGUCUGUAGUCGCAGGUGACUAUUGUGGGAACAGCCUUUAUGUGCUUCCAGAAACACAUCUGUUGCACAAAGACAGGAUGAGCAGCACGCAUCUGAACUUAUUUAACCAACAGUGCACUCCUAACGAACGCCUAGCGCAUAACAAGGGGCUGGUGCCAUGCCUUUCAUUCUGAAGUGACUCCUUAGUAGGAAAGAAGGCACACAGGCACCUUUGUGUGCUUCUGUGCCUGGACCCUUGGAGGACCCAUGAAGUACUUUGUCUGCCAUAAGGCUUCUAUGACCCAGGGAGGAAUUAUUUUCAAAGUGGUCUGGAUACUCGGAUCCCCCCGCCCCACAAAGACCAGAGAUGUCAACUGCCCUUGCAGCAAUGACUCAAAGAACAUGUUCUAAAACAGGAUCAAUAUUCUUCAACUCUGUUCCUGGAA